AGCGAACGCUGGCGGCAGGCCUAACACAUGCAAGUCGAGCGCCCAGCAAUGGGAGCGGCAGACGGGUGAGUAACGCGUGGGGAUCUGCCCAAUGGUACGGAAUAACCCAGGGAAACUUGGACUAAUACCGUAUGUGCCCUUCGGGGGAAAGAUUUAUCGCCAUUGGAUGAACCCGCGUCGGAUUAGCUAGUUGGUGAGGUAAAGGCUCACCAAGGCGACGAUCCGUAGCUGGUCUGAGAGGAUGAUCAGCCACACUGGGACUGAGACACGGCCCAGACUCAUACGGAAUGCAGCAGUGGGGACUAUUGGACAAUGGGAGCAAGCCUAAUCCAGCCAUGCCGCGUGACUGAUUAAGGCCUUAGGGUUAGAAAGCUCUUUCGCCGGUGAAGAUAAUGGCGGUAACCGGAGAAGAAGCCCCGGCUAACUUCGUGCCAGCCGCCGCCGUAACAC
rnacentral:rRNA from 1 species